GGCACUAUUGGAUUUUUCGGUCAAAUAGGGACAAAAGAAAAAAUACUGUUUGGACCAACGUUUUGGCUAUAUUUUAAACCAUCUUCGGCUGAGAGAAAAGCAAAUAUGUUCCACGGACAACUACAUUGUUUGACAGUGAUUUUAAAAACAUUAUCCAGAGUAAACGAACGAAGAAAAACGGUAAAGAAUUGAGUGUUUUUAUUGUCCAGAUAAUGUGGCCCAAAUUCCCAACUAAUGCUGGUUUUAUGCACCAGGAAUAAGAAAUAACGCAUAGCGUUAUGGAUGACUAAUGACGUUUGUUUAUUCACAUGUGUUCAGUGCUCUGAUUAGAAAUAGCUUUCACAUAUUAAAAAUUACAGUAGGUAUACAGUAAAUAUUUUAUGGU